rnacentral:rRNA from 1 species
AUACCGGGCCUUUUUGGGCUUGGUAAUUGGAAUGAGGGAGAGUUAAACGGACCAUCGAGUAUCCAUUGGAUGGCAAGUCUGGUGCCAGCAGCUGCGGUAAUACCAGCUCCAAUAGCGUAUAUUAAAGUUGUUGCAGUUAAAAAGCUCGUAGUUGGACUUGUGUGCGCUGUCCGCGGGUGGCCUGCGCCCAAAAGGGCGUUUCGGUUCGACCCCGGUGGCGCCUUGAAAUCUGCAGCUGGGGGGACGUUGGCCUUAACUGGUCGGCGACCGCACGCCGGCUGCUCGGUUACUGUGAGAAAAUUAGAGUGUUCAAGGCAGGCAUUGGGUGCAAUUGAAUACAUUAGCAUGGAAUAAUAAAAUAUGGCUCCUGCCGUAUUUUGUUGGUUUUGACUGGUGGGAGUAAUGAUUGAUAGGGACGGUUGGGGGUGCUAGUAUUGAGCGGCCAGAGGUGAAAUUCAUGGAUUCGCUCAAGACUAACUUAUGCGAAAGCAUUCACCAAGGACGUCCUCUUUAAUCAAGAACGAAAGUUGGGGGAUCGAAGACGAUCAGAUACCGUCGUAGUCUCAACCAUAAACUAUGUCGACUUGGGAUCGGCGGUAGUUUUUUCAUUAAGACACUGUCGGGACCACGGGAGAAAUCAAAGUGUCUGGACUCUGGGGGAAGUAUGGUCGCAAGGCUGAAACUUGAAGGAAUUGACGGAAGGGCACCACCAGGAGUGGAGCCUGCGGCUUAAUUUGACCCAACACGGGGAAACUUACCAGGUCCAGAGAUGUAGAGGAUUGACAGAUUGAAGCUCUUUCUUGAUCACUUCGGUGGUGGUGCAUGGCCGUUCUUAGUUGGUGGAGUGAUUUGUCUGGUUAAUUCCGUUAACUAACGAGACCUCAGCCUGCUAGUGUAGUCGGCUGGAUUGCCUUUGGCGAUCCGUGAUUUCGACUUCUUAGAGGGACAAUCGACGCGCAGUCGAUGGAAGUUUGAGGCAAUAACAGGUCUGUGAUGCCCUUAGAUGUUCUGGGCCGCACGCGCGCUACACUGCUGGGCUCAGCGAGUUUUACUUGGCCGAGAGGCCCGGUUAAUCUUGUGAAAUCCCAGCGUGCUUGGGCUCGCCUCCUGCAACUGGAGGCGCCAACGAGGAAUUCCUAGUAGACGCAGGUCAUCAACCUGCAUCGAUUACGUCCCUGCCCUUUGUACACACCGCCCGUCGUUCCAUAAGAGUGAGGCAUCCGGUGAAUUCUCGGGAGAGCCUGGGCGUGGCCAGCAAUGGUCUGCUCGGGUUUGAACUUGCAUAAACUUGGUGCCUAUGAUUAGGG